rnacentral:lncRNA from 1 species
AGGGGGUGCACCAUCGGGUUCGCUUCAUCGGGUGGUGAAGCUCUGGAAAGGAAUCGAGGAAGGCAUGGUGAGUCCGAGAAAGACACCUAGGGACGGCAGUUUUUUUCUAAGAGGCUUCAUCGGAAAAGGGAUGGCUUUCGGAGCCUCCUUGAGAUAUCCAGCUCUUCUUCUUCACCAGUGGGCCGGAGAAAGGCAUGGCAUCAAGCGAGCUCAAGAGCGCCCAUC